AUUAGUCAAUUUAUGUUUCAAUAAUUCUGCAUAGUAGUCUCCAAAAUCUCAGUAGCUUACAACACCAGCAUUUUUUUUUCCUUUUCUUUUUUUUUUGUUUUUUGGUACACAGAUCUGUGGAGUGGCUGCAGCACCUGUGUUUCAGCCUGAAGAAUGGGCACAGCUACUGAGUGAUGAUGUUCUUUCUAUACAUCCCAAGCGUUCUGUACAUCUAUGCAUCCCAAGUGCAUCAAGAUGGACCAGGUUGUCAGCAUGUUCAGAGUAAACAUGAAGAUUUAUGAUGUGCAUCUAAUGCCUGGUUUGGGGUCUGCACCAUGUUGGAGUCCAAGACUCAAGUGGGCUUUCCUGGAUAUUUCAUGAUUCUGAAGAAGAAUUGGAGGUGAGACUUGAGAAAAUGGAGAAAAAGAUUGUUGCAGAGGCUUCCUAAUUUGGUGGUUUCCUAAAUCAGAGGAAAGAACUUCUCAAUCACAGCAGACGCAGUGAGAUUGCAGGUAGUUGGAGCUAUAUGUAGGAGUCUAUUCUUCUAAAAUCCU
rnacentral:lncRNA from 1 species